ensembl:lncRNA
UUAAUGCCACUUCGUGUCUCCUUCAUUCCUUCUGCACAGUAGUGUGAUAGAAGACCCAACCUAAACAGUGUUAUUUGUUUGUUUCCCCCUGUUUUUUUACAGUGUUUGUUUUCAGUCUAAACCUGUUUUGUGCAAAAGAUCAAGAGUCCAGAUCUGCACUCAAAGUGGUGAUAUAGACAGCCCAAUAUAUUCACCCAGAUUGCCUGCUCAUCCUCCAGCAAAGUCACUGUAAGCUACAAAGCCACCCACAGGUCUGUACGUGCGUCUUCACCUGCUGCUGCACAGAAAUGCUGAUCUAACAUCACGUUUAUGUUUUGCUUUACGACGACUCGAGUGAACGCCGGCGCUUGUGCGAGUAUAACAUCACAGCCGGUGACACACAAGACAGUGCUGCCAUCCGUCAGGCCCGAAUCAAUCGCCCCGGCGUCUCCCACAGGAGUGAGAGUGAACCCCGUCCUAAUGGAGAUGUUAACUGAUGGUCUGGGGUGCUGUGGAUUACUUGUGGAUUAUUGUGAUGUUUUUAUCAGCUGUUUGGACUCUCAUUCUGACGGCACCCAUUCACUGCAGAGCAUCCAUUGCUGAGACACUGAUGCAAUGCUACAUUUCUCCAAAUCUUACAUUUUGAGUGCACUAUUCCUUUAAAUGUCCUUAGGUUUUUACAGUUUGAUGAGAGAUGCAAAACUAAUUAUAUUAUCUUCAGACGUGGCAUUUUACCGUAUGAGUCAUGGACCGACACAUUCGACUGACAGCCAGAAAACGCGUGGUGUGAAGCGUGUCACGCGUGACUCAUCACCUGCAGAAGUGAGGUUACAGCUCAACCAGAAAACUUGAUGGCAAGAUACAAUAAACUUCAGUGGGAUGAAUUUCUUUUCGUGUACGGUUAAAGCUGGUAUCAAUGAUUAUUGAAACCCAUGUUUCAGAUAUCUGUGUCAUUAGCAGAGAUUGAUUCUGACAGUGUCGCUGUGUGUGAGUUGCCCUUGAGAAAAAUCUAUCCGUCUCUUAAGUAUUUGAUUUAUGAGGUGAAUUUUGCCAGUGACGUUUGCAAUGAG